UACGAAGGGGGCUAGCGUUGCUCGGAAUCACUGGGCGUAAAGGGCACGUAGGGGGCUUUUUAAGUCGGGGGGGAAAUCCUGGAGCUCAACUCCAGAACUGCCUUUGAUACUGAGAAGCUUGAGUCCGGGAGAGGUGAGUGGAACUGCGAGUGUAGAGGUGAAAUUCGUAGAUAUUCGCAAGAACACCAGUGGCGAAGGCGGCUCACUGGCCCGGUACUGACGCUGAGGAGCGAAAGCGUGGGUAGCGAACAGG
rnacentral:rRNA from 1 species